CUCCUACGUCGUGGACAGGUUAGGUGCCGAGAAGCAGCGUGUUGCGUGGCUGUACUUCAGUGAUGCUGGAAUGUCCUACAGCAGCAAAUGCACCAUGAGGGACAGGUGCAGGCCUGGCCCUGAUGAAGAUGAUGAUGUUCAGCUGUGGCUGGUGGAGGAGUCAGAGGAAGCAGCAGAGAGCUGUCAAGUCCAUCGGCUGAAAACGAGAAGAACCCACCGCUGGAAACCUGCCAAUACUUGGCCGUCUACCUCAUCUCUGGAGGAGCUGCAGAGACCCACGGCUCAGAGACGUUAAUGGAAGCAUCAUCUCCACAUGGGAUCUCCAGACUCCCCUGUUCCCAGCUACUUUCUCCAGCUCAUCUUCUGGG